UGACCAUUCUCCACCGUUUCCCUUGCACCGGUGACUUCCCCAUCCACCAACAUUGACAGCCACCACAACUGGAAAUAUUGACACCCUCAUCGGCUACAAGAUUGGUGACCACCGUGGUUACUAAGGUGGUGGGAAGUGGUAAAGGCUGUUUUUAUAGAGACAAAGUAGAAGUUAGGGUUGAGAGUGAGUGAAUAGCGAGGGGCCGGCGAAGGUGGUUUCGCGGCGCCGCCGUGUCUGUUCAAGGUGGAUAAAAAUCUGGAGGCGUGGAAGCCAUUGGUGGUGUUGGGGGUGGCAGACUGUACACCCGAGCGGCGUCGACGGGGUUCGAAGGCAACUACCGCCUCCGACGAUCGUGGCCCAGAAAAAUUGCAAACUUUUCAAGAUUCAUGAUGAAAUUUUCAUUAAUGGAGUUUGUAACGGGUGGGAAUAGGUGGAUAAAAUUGGGCUUUUUAGAGUGGGUAAUUUAGAUAGUGGGGGAAAGAAGAUGAGUAAAUUAAUGGGUUUAGAGAUGGGGUUUUGAAAAGCUGAAGAGUGGGGAGAUGAGUGUUUGGAGAAAAGAUUGCUGAGGGUUGAGAGUUGAUAGGUGUAGAAAAGGCUGUCAUUGGGAUAAGUCCCACACUCCCAUGAUGGUUUUCGUUUUUUUUUUAACAAUAUCGUAUUCUAAGGGGGGACGGGGCGUAAGCGGCAACCCAUUUCGGGGACUGGUUUUGCCGAGCGGUAGGGUGGCGCCGUUCAAUCGGUGAGUGAGAGAGAGGGAUGAAACCGGUGGCGGCUCACCGAAGGAGGAGAGGGGAAAGGUGGUGGGGCCAGCCCACUUUCAACCAAUCAAAGCUUUUCUUUGUUUUUUUUUUUUUUUUUUUUGAAUAAAAAAAUAAGGGGAGUUAAGAGGGGAGUGGCGCCAUCAAAUGGGGGUGUUAGGGGAGUUUAAGAGGGGAGUUGACGUGGCACACGGGGAUUGGUUUGACGUAAGAGAGGGGACUCACCUAUUAGGUGAGCACCCCCUUCACCCUAAGCAAUUCAAAAUAAUUUAAAAUAAUUUAAUUUCUUUUACUUUGAGACCAUGUAUUUAAUAGGGAUAUUUCAUAGAAAACAUUAUGAUUAACAUAUAAGAGUAAAUCGCUUUUUAAUUAAUUUUAAAAUGCAAAAUCCCAUUAUACUAAUCUUUAAAUAUUAAUAAAUUCAUAAAGAACAUCAUUCAUCAUCAUUAAUAAACAUGGCUUUAUUAAUGGUUACUAUACGUUGGUAUUUGUUAUCGUCUUAACUUAGUUAUUAUGUUCUACGAUAAUGUUUUACGUCUAGGUCUGAAUUUGGUGUGUUAACACCCCGCAACGCGCAUGCAUCGUUCAAAAUUUUUACGUAUACUUUUGUUCGGUUUAAUGGUCCCGCUGCAAAGCGCGGGUCCCAAAAACUCGUUUAUUUUUAUUUAAGAGGAUGCCCAUGUCAGAACUUUUUAGAUAGAUGUCAUGACAAUGACCCACAUUUAGUUUAAAGGGGGAGAAUUAUUCGAGUCAACUAUACCUAUUCGAUUGCCGUUCAAAAAAAA
rnacentral:lncRNA from 1 species